rnacentral:lncRNA from 1 species
AUGUCUUAGUUCCUAUUUUUCUUAUUCCGUGUUGCUCUUAUUUCCCGUAUCUCAUAUUUCUCUGAUUUUAUUUUAUUAUUUCUUAUUCUUUAUUUCGGUUAUGUCAUCCAUCCCCUUGUGUACUAUCCUUUAUCUUGAGUCGGAGGUCUAUCGGAAACAGUCUUUCUACCUCUUCAGAGAUAGCGGUAUGGACUGCGUACAUCUUACCCUCCCCAGACCCCACGCCGUGGGAAUAGACUGGGUUUGUUGUUGUUGUUGUGAGUUGAAAUGUGUCCUAUGCUUGAUGAAUUGAGAUUUUAAUGUCAAAUUUGUGCAUAAAAUAACGUCUAUGGACAUAUUUUCUACUAAUUCCUGGUUUUAUUCCUUUUCUUAGACAUACACCUUAGUUUUAUGUAGGGUUAUAGAAAGAAAACCAAUGCUCCCGGUGCUUAGUUCAAUUGAGUAAGAUUGAAUGGAGCGAACUAAGUCUGGUAUUUAAGUGGGGAAAGGUGCUUAGUGCUCAUGCUAAACUUGUAGUAUUUUCUCUUUAUUAGCUAUUUUGUAAUAUCAAUCCGGAACCUCCCUAUUAUAACUUUCUUUUGCUCUUUGGUUACUUAAAUAAAACAUAUCAAAAUCAAGUAUGGAAAAGAGAUACAAUGAACCUCUCCGUAGUGGCAGCGUUUGUCCAAAAAAUUCAUGGCUGCUAUGGAGGGGUGCUGCUAUAUAUGUAUACUGACAUUUGAUGUUCAUACCUCAUUUAACUGUUAUAAACAAAAGUAUACAAAAUCAUGCAAUGCAGGAAUAUAAAAAAGGCAAACAUUAGUAGUUUUUUCCUCGUUCAGUUAUGAAAUAAGUGAUGUGCACCAUUUAAAUAUAUUUUUUUCUUUAAAUUAGAUAUUCAUACUUAAAAUUUACUGUGUGUAUGACAUUAAUGAUGAUUAAUAUUCUGGUAUUUUAUUUUGUACAUAGUAUAUUUCUUACAAACUAUUAUUACAUAAUAUUGAGUAUGCUGUUAGAGAGAGCUAAUUUUACAGUGUGUUCUGCUAUAAUUAACGCCAUUGAUGUUAUAGGUAGAAUGUCGUUAUAGAGAAGUAAAGCAUAACAUGAAAAAUCAGUUCCUUAGAAAAUCAAGUUGCUAUGGUGAAAUGUCGUUAUAACGAAGUAACGUUAUAGAGAGGUCUGCUAGACAAUAGUGAAGAAAUCAUGAUAAAAAUAAUGGAGAAGAGAACAACAUCAACAACUAAUGAUAUGAAAACUGAAGCAAAGAAAACAAGUAAUAAUAAUAUUGAAGAAUAAGAAUGUAGGAGAGUGUGUAAUAGCAUUAUCACUACCAGAAAUUCGCUAUUUUCUGACUAAAAUUUCCAACUGAAAAAAAGUAGUCACAAAUUUCCGACUACUUCGGUUGGAAACUCUACUUUUUUAUUUUUAUUUUUUAGAAAAUAUUAUUCCGAUACUAUUUAUGACUACAACAGUCAGAAUGUUUGGUGGUAAAUUGCGGGAAAUGUAUAUUCCGACUACUGUAGUCGAAAAUAAAAAUAAUUAAAUAAAUAUAUUACUAAAUAUAUAAUAAGACCCUUAUACGGAAAUUAAAUAAUUACUUAAAUAAAUUAUUAAAUAAAUAUAUUAUUAAAUAUAUAAUCAUACCCUAAUAUAAAAAUUAAAUAAUUAUUUAAAUAAAUUAUUAAAUAUGUAUUAGUAGGUGAGUUGCAGCAUAGUGAAGGCCUAUAUGAAGAAUUUGAUCCUUCUGAAGUCAGAUUGAAUGCUAAUAAGUAUGGAGAAGGAACAUCCGGAGCAAACGAUGAGGAAGAUCCAACCGACGAAAAUGAAAUAAGCGAGGAAGAAUCACUUGAUAAAAAUGAAACAAGCGAGGAAGAGUUACUUGAUGAAAAUGAAACAAGUGAUGAGGAGAAUUGAUGAAUGACUAUGAAACAAGCGACGAGGAUUGAGUUGUUAUCAAUAGUAGUAAUGUGUAGUAACAAGGUCUUGAAUUGUAUUUUAGCAGCUACUUUUUGCUAUUUUUCUUGACAAUAUAGUGUCUUUUCUUUGUUAACAUUUGUAGUGCCAAUAAGAACAUUUUUGGUUGUUUGAUUAAAUAGCAGUGGUAAAACUACUGGUACUAUGCAUGAUUUGCUUGUCUUGUUGCAUUUUCUUAAAUCCUACUUCUUCAGUUCCUCUACAUAAAGCAAUUUGUUUAUUUGUGAAGUCUUUGGUGUAGUUCGGAAUAUAUCCGGUGGCUAAGUCUUUCCUAUUUAUGAUUAUCCUUUCUUUAUUAUAGUUUUGUUCUGUCUAUUAAUAAAAGGUUAUCUAUUAAAUUCUGUUUUAUAUCUUUUCUUUAUUAUAGUUUUGUUCUGUCUAUUAAUAAAAGGUUAUCAGUUAAAUUCUGUUUUAUAGCUCAUUGCUUCUGGAUCUGAAUCGAAAAAUCCACAUGUAACUUACAUUUGGAACACUGCAAUGCUUGAUUAUAAUUUCUUCGGUUGACUGCUACUAUCUGUCUGAUGAUUGUUCACAAUUAACAUUAGCAAUAGAUCUAUAAGACCCUGUAAUUUUACUUUGAUAUAGAAUUGAAAUACGAAACAAGCUAUAUUCAUCGUGGGGUCUUGACAUUGUGAUGUCUAUUAGUACAAUGGUCUCUUCUUGCAUUUAGUAACGAGUUCUUUUUAAUGUUGCAAUCUUUUUUUUUGUGACCUCUAAAUUUUAUGACAACGAAUCAACUGUGGGAGUUAUUGCCAGAAAUUCUUAUUGUUUUAUUAAGAUCUCACUACUGGAAAGAAAGUUAAACAAGAGGUACACCGGAACAGAACAGAAAGGAUACAAGAAAAUAUUAAUAGUACACAUACAUGCUACAAUAGGAGAAGAGACUGCUCGUUCAAAUCACUUGUACAGUAGCGAUUUUUGGAACCCAGACUAGAGGAUCUGAUGGAAAAAAGUGACAGAUAGGGCAGGUUCCUGGUAAUACUCCGAGCAAUCGAAAAGAGGCACAAGAUGGACUUCAUUUAGAGGUAUCCAAAUGACAAACCGCAAUUGCUUCCACUCUAUCACCAUUUUCACCACCUAAUGAAACCUUGAACACUUUGCUCUUGCUAAUUGUGUGAUGACAGUAGAAAAUCGUGUAAGCACAAAGGCAUGGUAUGAUAUGCCACCAUCUUAGGAGCUGCUACUUCCUGUGGAGCAUCCAAAAUAGUAAACUUUUGAAGCAGGGUAGUUGAGUUUGAGAAAUGAAUUGUCGACAGAGCUUUGAAUUGGGUUUUUUCUCCCAUGAUGGGGCUUCACAUUCUCUUAAUGUGUCUUCCAUUGCUUUCCCCUGUGGAGAGUUUCGAGAGAAUGAGAAAUGCUGAAGGAGGUUUGGGAGUUCCUUUCGUGAAAAUGGAAUGGAAUCGGCUUCUUCUCUGGGCAAGAAACUCUGAGAAGAAGAAAGAUCCCUUCUUGGGAAACAAACAGUCACUACUUUCCCUUGUUUUAGAUCAUCCAUACUCAAGAAUGGCAUUGUAUACUUCCCCUUGACUAAUUAAACUAUGCUAAGUUGGACUUAUGUUACUUAUUCCUGUAUUAAGUUGCAGACAUAUGGUAACUCAAUUUACUGGAAGUUUAGAUAACUCAAACUUAUUGUAUCGUUUUCCUGGAGAAUUGAAUUGCUUAAAGCAACACCACGUUUAUAGGUUACUCUAUUCUGGAAUUUCAUUGCUUAUGGAAUACAGGGAUGAUACUCUGGGUGGCUUGAGUAUAGUUUCCAUAUGAAAUGUUGUAUAGUUUAUGUGUGAAGGCAUGGGCAUAUUUCUGUGUCUUGUUUGUUUUGUUCAAUUUUGGUUGUUCUUUUUUUUUUUACAAGUGGUUAAUAAAGAAAAUCAAUGGCAUCAAAAGGUCAUGGUAAUGGACGACGUAAGAAAGGUAAGAAAGGACCUGAUAAUCUUCCCGCAAGUCAAUAUACAACACCACCACCACCACCUGUUACCACAACUCUUCAACCAGCUACUACAAAUAUUCUUCCUUCUCCAAGGGCAACUAUUUCACUAUCAAAUGCAUUUUUCAUGCCCCCACCGCCCCACCAGUUCCAGCCCUCUUUCCAUAAUAGUCUGCAUAGUAGCUCUUCGUCUGUACCUUCGACAUCAUCCACAUUGGAGGUCCUAGCACAUCAACAUCGCCAUCCAUUGAUAGUGCUACAGCGUCUAAUGCUACAGCGGGUAGCAGCUACCCAGAUUCUGAAAUUUAAAGAGGUAGUAGAAUAUGAUGGCAACGGGAGGCUAAUUAUCGCCCCUGAUGGUAAUGGGUAAGUAACCCUUAUGUUUUUCCAUAAUUUUUAAAAUUUUUGAAAGCUAAGAGAAUUUAAUAUAAUUUUAUUGCAGGUUCAUUCCCGCAUAUAGCGCCGGACAUAUGGUUAUAGAAGCAACUAAACCAUUUUACACGGAGUCGUGGGGUAGUUGGAACGAGAUUCAACUCGACAUCAGAAUUCUUAUGUGGAAACAGUUUGUGGUGUAAUCAAAAUCAAAGAAUUUACCAUGUCAGUAUGCUACCAAUGAUGAAUUUACCUUUGUAUCCAUCAACUCAUUUCAUGACUUUAUAUUAAACUAUUUUGCCGACAAAGUGUGUAUGGAAUUCUUGUCAUGAAAAUGAAAUACAACGCAUUUUCAAGUUGAAAGCACUUACGGAUCAAAGAACACUUGUAUGAAGCCCAGAAGAACUUGGAAAAACCUGGUUGGCUGAAUGCUUAUGUGUGGGUCAAGUUAUUGGGAAAAUGGGAUACUCCUGAAUAUAGGGCGAGGAGGGAAUGGGCAAAGGCAAAUAGAGCGUCUUCAACGAGUGGCUCGUUGCACACUGGAGGUUCGAUGGGUUUCGCUACCCACCAACGAAGAUUGGUAAUAUUAGCUUAAAUUUCUGAUUUGUUCGGUUCAGUUCAGUGUUCUAAUCAGUACUAAUCUGUUGCAAAAUAAAGAACACUUCUACACUGUCAUGGAUGAGAUAUUUAGCUUCAUGAAUACUUAGUCACUUUCAACACUCAAAAGUGAACCUACUGUCUUCAUUCUCUAUGGAAUUGACCUCGACUCCAAGUUGGGUAAAAAUUAUAUUCAAUAGUAGCUAAAUGAUAUUGACCUCCAAGAUGUAACCUGUGUUAAAUGAUAUAGUUGAUUAUAGUUAAAAUGCUUUUGUACUAGGUAAGACUCAUGUGUGGUAACAUCAUAAUGAGUCAUGAGUCUAUCAAGGGGUAUAGAAGGAAGGCCAUCUCUCCAAGGUGUAUGCUAAAAAUUGAUAUGCAGAAGUCAUAUGACUCAGUUCUGUGACCCUAAAGGAACUCAGUUCUUUUAGCCUUAUGAUCUAUAGGGGAUGAUUGCAUUUUGAUUCGAUUAAAGUUCUGAUGUCCAAUUAUACAACAUUUGAUAUUGACCAGGUCAUGGUAUAAGGCUGUCUCAUCUGUGUUUGUAGUUCACUAAUAAAUAAAUAUGUCGGAUACUAAAGAUUAGAUAAUGGAAAUGUUUGAACAGUAUGAAGUAUUCUGCUUCUGUUACAUAAGAAGUUGCUUAAUUUUGAUGUUUGAAAGUACUAUGAUUUUAGUAGAGGAUUCCAAACAUAGGCUGGUAGUUCAGAAAACUUCUGAGAAUUGGCCUGAACAGAAAACUUCUGAGGAUUUCAUGACCUUUAGAUUUAUUGAUCUAUGAUGGAUCAUUACUUGAUUCAGAGAUGCGUUGGUUAGUAUGCAAAUGCAUAUGUAAACUUGGUGUCUUGAGGCUAAUGGGACAUUAAAGAGAAUGCAAAUGCAUAUGUAAACUUGGUGUCUUGAAUACAACAGGCAUAUUAGCAUCUUUGUAAGGAGAUGACAUCGAUGUUUCUUGCUUAGUAUUGCUUAUCAGAUACAAUCAUGUUCUUGGUCUUGGACUGCAUUUCGUAAGAAUGGUAUACUUUGUACUCCAACACAUUAGUACUCCAACAAUGUUGAUAACAUGUUCAAAAGUGUGGUUGUUUGCUAUACAAACAUUCUGGUUUGUGAACCAUUAGUAGAGAAAAAUGAUGGGUAUAAUCACAUCAUGGACAAGUAAAUUCUUGUUUUAUACUAAUCUAAACUAUCAGCCACUAUAUUCUUAGAAGAAGAGAUCUGUACAUUCUCUUGAUUAGUAAUGUCGAUACAGAUCAUUGAGUUACUUCUUUUUCCAUUUACAUGCCUUUGGCCGGAGGAUGGAGCUGUAUUGAUCAUGUCCGUUCUAUUCCCUUGAGCAUUUUGCUUAUUCUACGGUUGUUUGACCAAUGUUGAGCAAACAGGAAUUUAGAAAGAUUUUCAGAAUUUAUAAAAGAUAGUGUUGUACAGUAGUUUCACAUUUAAAAUGUUGAAGAAUUUCUACUAUUUUAGAAACAUGACUAUAGAUGUUGUUUAACAUGUCUGCUUAGUGUCAUUUCAAUUUUAUUUGAAUGCAUUACAGACAUUUAGCAUCACUUGCUUAUUAGACACGUCUCUUUAUAUCUCUUCUAAUCUACAAUUGAAUAGCCACAUUUGCAACUUUCUCUCUUUGGUUUUCAAUGUGGUUCUAUUAUCUUUUACAGCUUCUUCGUUUCCAACUUCCACCAUCUUCUUGCAUGGUAAUUCUUUAAGUCUGUCUGGAUUUUAACAACUUUUCUCUGCUAUCUACUUCUUGUAUAUAUGUCCUUUCUAUUUUGUUUUUAUGGUUUUCUUGUAUUAUAUGUAUAUAUACAUUGCUUACUCUAUGGCAAUAUUGCUUACAUAUUUUUACUAAUAUGCAAUUAACAGUUCUAUACUUCACUCGAAUUUCAAUAGAAGUAAUCAUGCUUUGCUAUUAUUACAGUACUGCUUAGAAACAAAGGUUAGCCCAGUCAUGUCAUGAACAUCAACAACAACAACAAACCCAGUGUGGGAACACAGCAUGGGGUCUGGGGAGGGUAAGAUGUACGCAGUCCAUACCGCCAUCUCCGAAGAGGUAGAGAGGUUGUUUCCGAUAGACCUCCGGCUCAAGAUAAAGGAUAGUACACAAGGGGAUGGAUGACAUAACCCAAAUAAAGAAUAAGAAAUAAUAAAAUAAAAUCAGAGAAAUAUGAGAUACGGGAAAUAAGAGCAACACAGAAUAAGAAAAAUAGGAACCAAGACAUAAGAAAUAGGACACCCACCUAGUAGUAACAUACACUCCAAUGUUGUAAAAGGCGCUCGCCACGUCGCCAAUGGCGAAUGGCGAGGCGAGGCCUGGUCGCCUCUUCACGUCGUGGCGUUGCGAAAAUCAAAAGGCGACGCCUUUGCGAGAAAGGCGACAUGGCAAGGCAAGGCGGCGAGGCGACAAUGGCGUCGCCUUUUAAUUUAUUUAUUUUUAAAAUAGAGUUUUAGGUAUACAAGCUAAUUUUAAGGCUUAUUUACCCAUUUUGGCUCUACCAACUUACUCAUUGGUGACUGUGGCUGCUACCAUUCAUCUCCCAAGUUCGAUUCCGGCGACCGGGGACAUAUUCCAGCGACUCCGGUAAGCAGUCAACUAUAGUUUUCUAUUUUUUUUUCUUCUUUCUUCUUAAUCCAGCGAUUGGACUUGUAUCUUGGUGCUGUUUUUUUUAUCCUUCCUCUUUUUCUCUCCUUCUAUUUUCCUAAUAUAUUAGUUUUAUUGAAAUUUUGAUCAUUUAUAUAUUUUUUUAUUUUUUUAUAUAUAUUGUCGCCGUAUAUUCAAAAGCCGAUCGCCCCGCCGCUUGCCUCGCCGCGUGGCAAGGCGGGACCUUGUCGCCUUCGCCGUCCAAAACACUGAUACACUCACGUACCAAAGACACUUAUGUACACUGUCCUAUGAUUACUAACCCGACUACACAAGAACUCAGCAUGACUGCUUGUUACAACCCACACACUAACACUAGCCUUCUACCCUUAUCCUCGACCUCCCCACCUUCCUAUCCAGGGUCAUGUCCUCAGUAAGAUGAAGCUGCUGCAUGUCAUAUUUAAUCACCUCCCUCCAGUAUUUCUUCGGUCUACCUUUACUCCUCCUGAAGUCAUCCAACGCUAGCCUCUCACACCUAUGAACCAGGACAUCCACACCCUUCCUCAUCACAUGCCCAAACCAUCUCAGCCUUCCUUCCCGCAUCUUGUCCUCCACCGAAGCCACUCCCACCUUCUCCCGAAUAAUCUCAUUCCUAACUCUGUCCCCUCUAGUAAGCCCACACAUCCAAUGCAACAUUCUCAUUUACGUCACCUUCAAUUUUUAGAUGUGAACGUGCUCAACCGGCCAACACUCCGCUCUAUACAACAUGGCCGGAAGAACUGCCACUCUAUAGAAUUUGCCUUUAAGCUUAAGGGGCGCCCUUCUUAUCACACAACACUCCUGAGACGAGCCUCUACUUCAUCCACCCUGCUCCAAUACGUUUAAAAACAUCCUAAUCAAUCUCGCCAUUCCCCUGAAUCAUAGACCCAAGAUACUUAAAACUAUCCCUCUUACAAAUAUCCUUGGAGUCCAACCUCACCACUACUUCGUCCUCCUGCCUCGAGUCACUAAACUUGCAUUCCAAAUACUCCGUCUUGGACCUACUCAACCUAAACCCCUUAGACUCAAGGGUUUGCCUCCAAGCCUCCAAUUUGUCAUUCACACACACCCCGCGUCUCAUCAAUCAGCACUACAUCAUCCGCAAAUAACAUACACCAAGGCACCUCGCCUUGAAUACUCCGCGUCAACACGUCCAACACUAACAUAAAAAAGGAAUGGACGAAGAGUCGAUCCCUGAUGCAACCCUAUCUCAACUGACAAAUGCUCUGAUUCAACUCCCGCCGUACUCACUCGAGUCUUCCCUCCAACGUACAUGUCUUUAAUGGCUCUGAUGUACGCCACCGGAACCCCUCACCUCCAAGCAUCUCUAAAGGACCUCCCUCGGGACUUUAUCAUACGUCUUUUCCAGGUCAAUGAACACCAUGUGUAAAUCCUCUUUCUUUCUCUAUACUGCUCCACCAAUCUCCUUACCAGAUGGAUUGCCUCUGUCGUCGAGCGACCAGGCAUAAAUCCAAACUGAUUCUCCAAAACGGACACGACCCUCCUCAAUCUCCGCUCAACCACUUUUUCCCAAAUCUUCAAAGUGUGACUCAACAGCUUAAUACCCCUAUAGUUGUUGCAACUCUAAAUGUCACCCUUGUUUUAUAUAACGAAAUCAUCGUACUCCACCUCCAAGCAUCAGGCAUUCUCACAUUCUUGAAUAUGUCGUUAAACAAAUCAGUCAACAACCUUAAACCUGCCCCACCUACAUACUUCCAAAAAUCCACCGGAAUCUCAUCAAGCCCCAUCGCCCCACCCCUCCGCAUCCUACAAAUAGCCUCUCCGACCUCCUCAACCCUAAAACGCCUACAGAAACUAUCACAUGGCUCUCGUUCGAGUGCUCCAGCUUCUCUAGCUCAAUGCCUCUGUCCCCUUUCUCGUUCAAAAGUCCGUGAAAAUACUCCUCCCAUCACUUCUUAAUAUGCACGUGCGCAUCCUCUAUCAAAACACUACCAUCCUCUCCUUAAUGCACCUCACUUGAUCGAGGUUACGACCCUUCCGCUCCCUAGCUUUAGCAAGCCUAUACAACCUUUUUUCCCCGUCUUUCUCCUCUAACCCCGCAUACAAGCUCUCGAACGCGGCUGACUUAGCAGCCGUAACUGCUAACUUAGCCACCUUUCUUGCUACGUUGUAAACCUCCCUAUUCACCCACUUCUCUUCUUCAUCUUUACCGCCCCUUUCUUAAUCUCCACUUUCUUCUUCACUUGUUCAUUCCACCACCAGUCCCCCUUAUGACGACCUGCUCGGCCCCUCAAAACACCCAACACUUCUCUAGAAAUCUUUGUGAUGCAGCUAGCAGCCCUAUCCCAUAUAACAUCCACGUCCCCCUGCACUCCCACACCCUCAUUCCCGCCACCUUUUCCCCUAUCUCCAGAGUACUAACUGGUGUAAAGCCACCCCACUUAAUUCUAGGUCGACCCUCCCGGCCCUUCUCUUCUUGCUUUUCUUGACAGACAAGUCCAUCACUAGAAGCCUGUGCUGGGUCGAAAGAUGCUUACUCAGAAUGACUUUACAAUCCUUACAUAACACCCUAUCCUCCUUCCUAAGCAGCAGAAAGUCAAUCUAAGUCUUGGCUAUCGCGCUUCGAAAAGUAAUCAGGUGAUCCUCCUUCUUCGAAAAGCUCGAAUUAACUACCACCAGCCCAAAGGCCUUCGCAAAAUCCAACAGAGCAGAACAUAACUAAAGAAAUUUGAAUGUGAUGUCUUGUAUUCAAAGGCAAAAAAGAGUUGUUAAAAAGUGUGUUGUUUGCUAUACAAACAUUAUGGUCCCAAGUGUUCACUUUGCCUAAGAAGCUCAGAAGAGGUGUCAAAGAAGUCUCUCAUAUCUUAGGAGAAGUUGUGUAUGCUAGUGGUAGUAGGAGGUCCCAAUUUGAUCAAUAUUAAGUUGUGGGACAAAAAAUUUCUAUAUGUAAGUUUCUUUGGCAUUUCAAUGUUCUGUUCCGUGUUCCGUGUUCCAUGUUUGUUACGAAUCUGUGUGCUUUCCUCUGCUUUAUAUUCCUGCAUUCCUGAUUUCUCUGUUUUAUAUUCCUUAUGGCUGCAGUAUCUAUGUUAUGUCAUCUGCUUCUGUGCUGUACUAUGUGUUUGUUUGAUAUCUCGUAACUUGAGCCGGGGGUCUUUCGGAAACAGCCUUUCUACUUCAUCAGAGGUAGAGGUAUGGACUGCGUACAUCUUACCCCCCC